rnacentral:rRNA from 1 species
UACGUAGGGUGCGAGCGUUAAUCGGAAUUACUGGGCGUAAAGCGUGCGCAGGCGGUUUUGUAAGUCUGUCAUGAAAUCCCCGGGCUUAACCUGGGAAUUGCGAUGGAGACUGCAAGGCUAGAAUCUGGCAGAGGGGGGUAGAAUUCCACGUGUAGCAGUGAAAUGCGUAGAGAUGUGGAGGAACACCGAUGGCGAAGGCAGCCCCCUGGGUCAAGAUUGACGCUCAUGCACGAAAGCGUGGGGAGCAAACAGG